rnacentral:rRNA from 1 species
GACAGAGGAUGCAAACGUUGCUCGGAUUUACUGGGCGUAAAGCGCGCGCAGGCGGUCCCGUAAGUCGGACGUGAAAGCCCAGGGCUCAACUCUGGAAGUGUGUCUGAUACUGCGAGACUGGAGUACUGGAGAGGAGAGCGGAAUUCCCGGUGUAGAGGUGAAAUUCGUAGAUAUCGGGAGGAACACCAGUGGCGAAGGCGGCUCUCUGGACAGAUACUGACGCUGAGGCACGAAAAGCGUGGGAAGCAAACAGG